AAAAACAUUACCCCCUCCCUUUGCCAAAUACUUCUUGGAGAAGAAAUACCAUUUGAACAAACAGAAAAGAUAGAAAUAUAGUGAUCCCUAAUAUAUCAAUCCUUCUUCUUCGUCUGUAAGCACGCUGUUGCAGCCUACGUUUCCUAAUACUUAAUCGAGACAUCUUUAGUAUCUUUAAACUACUGCAAAUCAUCAAAAUGGCUUUCAUAAAGAAGCAACCACUUAAC
rnacentral:lncRNA from 1 species